rnacentral:rRNA from 1 species
GAUUAAGCCAUGCGAGUCGAGAGUCUAGGACUCGGCAUACUGCUCAGUAACACGUGGAUAACCUGCCCUGUACUGGAGGAUAACCUCGGGAAACUGAGUAUAAUACUCCAUAGACCACAAUGCCUGGAACGGUUUGUGGUUCAAAUGCCCCGGCGGUACAGGAUGGGUCUGCGGCGUAUCAGGUAGUAGGGGGUGUAAAGGACCUCCUAGCCAUUGACGCGUACGGGUUGUGGGAGCAAUAGCCCGGAGAUGGAUUCUGAGACACGAAUCCAGACCCUACGGGGUGCAGCAGGCGCGAAAACUUCACACUGCGGGAAACCGUGAUGAGGGGACUCCAAGUGUUAGCACAAUGUGCUAUCUUUUCUUGACUUUUAAUAGGUCUUGGAAUAAGGGCUGGGAAAGACCGGUGCCAGCCGCCGCGGUAAUACCGGCGCCUCAAGUGGUCGUCGCUUUUAUUGGGCCUAAAACGUCCGUAGCCUGUCUGGUAAACCCGUGGGUAAAUCAACGAGCUCAACUCAUUGACUUCUGCGGAGACUGCCAGACUAGGGACCGGGAGAGGUGUAGGGUACUCAUGGGGUAGGGGUAAAAUCCUGUCAUCCCAUGAGGACCACCUGUUGCGAAGGCGCUACACUAGAACGGAUCCGACGGUCAGGGACGAAGCCUAGGGGCACGAACCGGAUUAGAUACCCGGGUAGUCCUAGGUGUAAACGCUGUGGACUUGGUGUUGGGGAUCCGACAGGGGUUCCCAGUGCCGGAGCGAAGGUGUUAAGUCCACUGCCUGGGGAGUACGGUCGCAAGGCUGAAACUUAAAGGAAUUGGCGGGGGAGCACCGCAACGGGAGGAGCGUGCGGUUU